rnacentral:lncRNA from 1 species
AACAUCUUCUGGGACAGGUGGAGGAGGUGGCAAAGCAUCACCAUUUCCAUUUUCUGGAUCCAUUUUUGGAUGCUACAAACAACAGAACAAGUUAGCAUCAUCAUAAAGAAUCACUCAAGUAGAGAAACUAGAAACUCAAAACUGAACCAAAUCCAAGAAAUAGCAACAUACUUUCACUUAUUUUCUUAUUAUAGUGUCCUACUUGCAAUUAUUAGUAGUGAAAGAUCUACCUAAUUGCAAUAUCUUUGGGGGGGGGGGCAUAUAUAAACAAUGCAUUUUGCUUAAUAUGGAACAAGAAAUAGAAGUUGUAAAUUGUAAACUUGAUUUAUCGAGAUAUAUAUAUAUAAAAUAAUUUGGACUUUAAGCUACAAAAUACAAAAUGAAAAAUAGAAGUUCAUCAAAGUUCUGAUUUCUAUAACUGUUUACAGAGAUGCUACACCAACACAGUAUAAAGACAUCUUAAAAUUCUUGAGAAUGCAACAAAUACAGCAAAAUAAAAUAAAGCUGAUAUUUGAAAACCCUUUUCAAAAUCAACAACGUAAUAGCAAAUUAGGCCAGAAAAUACUUGAUGAUUGUACUUAAAUAAUAACAUAAAUGAUUAGACAAACACUGAACAUAAAAGCCAUAUACUAAAAAAUCCUUCCAAAAUUUUCAUAUUUCAAGAAAAUAAACUGAUAACUCUUGUUACUUAAAGAAAAUCAAGAGCAUAAACACAAAUGUACUUCUAAUCCACCAAAAAUGAUAUGAAUACACAUAAUACAGAGCUAAUAUUUCAAAAUCCAUUUCAAAUAUCAACAAAAUAAGACAAAAAAGUACAUAGUACUUUUGUACCACCAAUUCCUUCAGAAAGAUGAAUGUACAAAAAAUUAUUAAACCAUGAAUCAUGAAACUCCUUUCAAAAAAACAAUAAAUGACAACAAAUAAACCAAUCAAUUACUUGGAACAUCAACAAAAUCAUGAACAAAAAUACAAAUGAACUUUUAAUUCAGCAAAUCUGAAACCCCUUUUGAUUAUCGACAGAUAACAGCAAACUAAACAAACCACUCCUGCUCGUUUUUUAUAAAAUCACAAAUAAUUAUAAAUACACUUUUAGUUCAGCAGAUCCUUCAAAAAUGGCAAAUGUAUACACAAUAUAACAGAGAAAUCUGAAAACCCCUUUCACUAAUCAAGUAUUUGGUACAUUUACGAAACCAAUACCAUAAAUAUUAAUGUAUUUCUACUCCAUCCAAAUCGGAAAAGUAAUCUAGAAAUUGCAGGGGACUAUGACCGAAAACUUCUUUAUAAAAUCAAAAAAUGGAACCAUCAAAAGUAAAAUCAAUAAAAUCAAAAUUAAACUAACUCAAAAAUUUAGUAAAAAAGUGAAAGAGAACCAGACUAGUCAGAAAACACCAUGCACGACAGAAACAACGAUCAAAAAAUCCUUCACAAUAGUAAAGUAAUUAUACCUGAAACUCAGAGAAAACCCUUGUUUCGAAAUCUAGAUCACCAGCCUAGAACCUGAAAAAUAACAACCAGAGAACAAAAUCACAAAGUAAGGACUACUUUGUGACGAAGAACGACGAAAUUCACACAAAGAACGACGAAGAAGAAGGGG